GUAGGGAAUAUUGGGCAAUGGAUGCAAGUCUGACCCAGCCAUCCCGCGUGCCGGAAGAAGGCCCUCAGGGUUGUAAACGGCUUUUGACGGUGAAGAAUCGACAGGAUGCGUCCUGUUUUGACGGUAGCCGUUGAAUAAGCACCGGCUAACUCCGUGCCAGCAGCCGCGGUAAUACGGAGGGUGCGAGCGUUGUCCGGAUUUAUUGGGUUUAAAGGGUGCGUAGGCUGGAUGGUCAGUCAGCGGUGACAAGCUGUCGCUUAACGAUAGUCUUGCCGCAGAUACUUCCUUUCUUGGAUGAGGAGGAUGCCACUGGAACGGAUGGUGUAGCGGUGAAAUGCAUAGAUAUCAUCCAGAACACCGAUUGCGAAGGCAGGUGGCUGUACCUUAAUCGACGCUGAUGCACGAACGCAUGGGGAGCAAACAGGAUUAGAAACCCCUGUAGUCC
rnacentral:rRNA from 1 species